rnacentral:tRNA from 1 species
ACCAGGAUGGCCGAGUGGUUAAGGCGUUGGACUUAAGUUCAAUGUACGAAUUUAUGCGUGGGUUUGAACCCCACUCCUGGUA